AGACCUCUGAAAUCCGGGAAAAUACACAGGUUUUGUUCUAUUUUUGAAAUUAUUUUUUCAGCUUAAGUGGUUUGGGAACUAUUUUUUUCCCCCCCCAGGUAAAGUAGUUUUAUUUUAAUAACUGCAAGCAGCUCUGUUUGUGUCCUUCAGGCAGAAAUCCCCACCGCGACCACGUUGCUGUGCUAAUGGAAAUAAAAGGUGGAAAACUCCAGCCAGAGGAGCUGGAGCUCCUUCUGCCCAGCCUCGGGACGUCCUGGGAACAGCUCUGGAGCCAAGGCUCAGGGUGGCACUGCCAAGGAAUUGUCACCUUCUGGGGACAGGGCAGAGGGCUCAGGGUGGGCUCUGCCAGGCUCAGCUCUCCCCACCCAAAAUCUCUGAUCCCACCCAAAGGGCUGAACUCCAGCUCAGCACUGAUACCCAAACCUGCAUCCCCUCCCCUGGGCCCAGAAAAGCCAAAAAUCCUCAUUUUAAUUUCCAAAUCUCCACAUUUCCAUGAAUUAUUCUAACAAAACACCCCUGACUUGCUCGCUGGGGUAAUUCCAGAAAUAUUUUUGCUACAAAAGCUGCAUUUUGGUCGGGAACUGUGCUUUCAUUGCACAGAAAAAGGCAUCCUAGGGGGUGAUAAAAAUACCUCUGACAAUAUUGUGUGCAGUGAAAAAAGGCUUUGGUUUUCCUUCCCUGAAAGGCCAAGUUUGAGCACAAAGGGGCCCAGGGGUCAGGGUCACCCCUGGAUGUUUGGGGAGCACCAUUCCAUGGCACCCAGGGGCUCCGAGGGUUUCUGUUUCCACUUGGAAUAUUUGUCAGGAAAAGGUGGAUUUCUCCUCAGAAGCCUCGAUCCCACUUUGAAUUUCCAGGAAGGAAAUGGGUGUUUGCAGCUGGCAUGGAAAACGCCCCAAUGUCAGUGGGAUAUUUCUUACCUGCCACUCACAAUUCUGAUUUUUGGGGGUCAUUGUGCAGCAGGAUCCUUUCUCCUGGAAACACCAGGGAGGUUGAAAUAGUUCUUCCCCAUGGAAAAACCCACAAUUAAAUCCUUUUUAGCCUGGGAUAUUUUCCCAUUUUAUUCCUUACUCCUGCAUCACUAAUUUAAAUACGUCCUGUGAUCUAAGAUUGUAAAAAAAAAUUGUACAAACAUUUUGAAAACCCAAAUCUUUCUGCACCUGUGCCCACUGGUUACUUGGGAGGUGUUAAAAUAAUUUAUCCCAUUAUCCUAACGAUGCACCCAGAGAGGAUUUGCCAGGUGAUCUGCUUAAACCCAGAACAUCACUACAUGGAGAGUGUGAAAAAUAUU